UAGUGAUGAUGAUGAUGAUGCUGAGGUGGAGGAAAUGGUGAUGGAUGAUUGUAGUGAGUAUCUUCCACCUGUUCUUCUUCUUCUUCACCUUCUUCUUCUUCCCCAUCAUCAUCAUCUUCU
rnacentral:pre_miRNA from 11 species